CUCGAUGUCUUCAUUGUAACCAGUUAUCAAGAAAUCUGAACAGUUCCUCUUACACCCAUGAUCGUAACGAUUCCUGAACCGCCCACCAGGCCCCCGCAGGUAGCUAUACCGCAUUAUAUUUGCUACCUCAUUCGUCGUAAUAUUACGAGAGAUCUGUGGCACCAAAAAGGAAUUAAAAUUCUGAAUUAGUCGAGAAACAACACGAUACUUCUCCGAACCAAAGGAUGAACGUGUUAAAAGACUGAUGAAGACCGAGCAAAAACUAAAGCCUGUUCGCUGCAGCCCUUGAGUUGUAAAAUCAUUUAAGUUCACAAGACAAACAUUACUGAAAUUUCAUCUCCUCCUACAGGAUCUUCUACAAACGUUGGAAUACCUGAGAAGCCUGAACAGCAGUCAAGAUAGCCACUCCUGAGAAGAGGAAAAUGUCUGAGACAAUAAAUGCAAAAGCACCAACAUGUUCGUUUGCAGCAUGGCUCAACCAUCCCCCAAAUGAAGAUGGAGCUAGUGGAUCGGUCAAGACUCCUGCAGCAUAAAGCACGUUCGAUAUAUAGCAUUGUAGAAGAACAGGCAAAUCAUAACGAGAUAAUAAGCAGGAAAAAAAUGCGUGAUAUGAGGAAGAGAACGAGACAUGCAUAAAAGGUAAAAAAUGGCUUACUUGU
rnacentral:lncRNA from 1 species